AUUAUACUACCUCCGUUCGGAAUUACUUGUCUUGGAAAUGGAUGUAUCUAGAACUAAAAUACGUCUAGAUACAUCCAUUUCUGUGACAAGUAAUUCCGAAGGGAGGGAGUAUGAG
rnacentral:pre_miRNA from 1 species